rnacentral:rRNA from 1 species
UAUCUCUGUAGAGUCUGCAUAUCAAUAAGCGGAGGAAAAGAAACUAACAAGGAUUCCCUUAGUAACGGCGAGUGAAGCGGGAAGAGCUCAAAUUUGAAAUCUUCAAGGUUCUACCUUGACGAAUUGUAGUUUAAAGAAGUGUUUUCUGUUAGAUGAGUAGCAAAAGUUCCUUGGAAUAGGGACAUCAUAGAGGGUGAGAAUCCCGUAUUUGACGUUAUUCAUUCUAGCUGUGUGAUACACUUUCAAAGAGUCGGAUUGUUUGGGAAUGCAGUCCAAGAUGGGUGGUAAAUUUCAUCUAAAGCUAAAUAUUGGCGAGAGACCGAUAGCGAACAAGUACCGUGAGGGAAAGAUGAAAAGAACUUUGAAAAGAGAGUUAAACAGUACGUGAAAUUGUCAAAAGGGAAGCGUUUGACACCAGUGUUGUUUUUCCGAAAAUCAAUUACGAAUGGCUUGAUUUUGUGUUGUAUUGACCUUAUCAGCUUUCUUCACUUUUUUCGAGUCUUUCUUAAUGCACUUUUUCGGUUAAACAAGUCAACAUCAAUUUCUUUUGUUGUACAAGAGUAUUCGGAAGGUGGCUUUCUUUUCGGAGAAAGUGUUUAUAGCCCUAUACUUCUACAAUCGGAGAGAUUGAGGUCUGCAGCGUAGAUCCUUCGGGGUUAGAUACACUUGUGCUAAGUUGUAGCUUUUCAUAGACAACUUGUUGACUAUGUUUAGUCAUGCGGCUUACUCGCUUAUGCUAUUUUACCUACGCUUAGGAUGUUGACUGAUAUGUAGUCGUA